rnacentral:rRNA from 1 species
CGUGCAGGCGGAUUUUAAGUCGGAUGUGAAAACCCCGGGCUUAACCCGGGCCUGCAUCUGAUACUGUUAAUCUUGAGUACGGGAGAGGAAAGCGGAAUUCCAGGUGUAGCGGUGACAUGCGUAGAUAUCUGGAAGAACACCGGUGGCGAAGGCGGCUUUCUGGACCGAUACUGACGCUGAGGCGCGAAAGCCAGGGGAGCAAACAG